UACGAAGGGGGCUAGCGUUGCUCGGAAUGACUGGGCGUAAAGGGCGCGUAGGCGGAUGGCUUUGUCGGGCGUGAAAUUCCAGGGCUUAACCUUGGGGCUGCGUUCGAGACGGGUUGUCUUGAGUGGGGAAGAGGGUCGUGGAAUUCCCAGUGUAGAGGUGAAAUUCGUAGAUAUUGGGAAGAACACCGGUGGCGAAGGCGGCGACCUGGUCUUUUACUGACGCUGAGGCGCGAAAGCGUGGGUAGCAAACAGG
rnacentral:rRNA from 1 species